AAAGUUUUUGCUCCCCAAGUGAUGCAUCAUUCAAAUAAGAGGUUUCCCUGCGAAACUCCAUUAGUAGAGACAUUAGAUAGCAGGGUGCAUUUGAAGUACACAGCUGCCAUGCUCUACUUACACAUGCCUCCACUAAUGUCACAUUUCUCUAGGCAGCAGCACUCUUCUGCUUAGGCUGUGUGUUGAAGACAUACCUUUAUAAAUUCCCUUCUCUGCUACGGACCAGUCUAAGCUGACUGUGACUAGAAAAGGGAAUGUAUGCAGUCAGCACACAGAGACAGAAGGGGAGGGACAGCUACGCUUAGCAGUGACAAACCAUCUGCUUCCACAAUCACUAGCCAUAAGAGGUAGUGACAGUUGUACCCCAUGGUAUUCCACAUACCAUAACAACAGAGCAGGAAUAUUUCCCUGACAACAGAGAGAAGAGCCCAUUGUUGGGAUGGCUGAGGUCCUUCAUUAUCUUCCUGGCCUUGGUCCAGCACCAUUUGCUGUAUAUAGUCUUCAUGUCAGGGAGCUUGGUGCAGAUGGUACUCUCUGCUAAUCGCACCAUCCUCUGGAGAGCUUGCCUGUCCUGCUUGGUGCUGUUUCCAAACCAGGAUGAUCUUAAUGGUGCAGGUGUAGAAUGUCUUUAGUACAGGACUUUAGUUUAAAGUCCUUUAGGCAUCUGAGAUUAUUAAAGAUGCUGCUGGACUUGACAGGACCAUGACAGGUCCUGCGUGAUGUGAACACCUAGGUACCGGAAACUGUCCACUCUCUCCACUGGGGUCCCAUUGAUAGUGAGGGGCUGGUAAUUUCUCUCCUGCUUUGUACUGAAGUCCACUAUCAGCUCCUUAUUCUUGCUGAUGUUCAGGAGGAGAUUGUUGUCCUGGCACCAUGUUUCCAGGUUUUUAAUCUCCUCUAGGUAGGCCGUCUUGUCAUUGUUGGAGAUCAGGACCACCACCACAAUGUCGUCCUCAAACUUAAUGGUGUUGUUGGAGCUGGAAGUGGCCACACAGUCCUGGCAGGCAAACUUUUGUCUUCCUGUCUGUCAGCCAGUUAUCAAUCAAUCAAUCAAUCAAUCAAUCAAUCUAUCUAUCUAUCUAUCUAUCUAUCUAUCUAUCUAUCUAUCUAUCUAUCUAUCUAUCUAUCUAUCUAUCUAUCUAUCUAUCUA